CAGCUGGAUCUUCCACCAGGGCUGGGACCGGGCCAGGGCGCCCUGCGAAGAACAUCAUGACGUCAGAUGAGCAGCCAAUAGAAAGAGGGAGGAGACGGACGAGGAUCCGGAAAAGAGAGGAGACUGAACUUAGAAACAAAACAACAACAAACCAAAAAAACAAAGACAAGAACCUCUCCCCUGGGACUGGGAAGAUGGUUCAGCUGAUCAAGAUGCAGAACUCUCACCUCCUUCUCCAGCACCAUGUCUGCCUGAGUACUGUUGUGCUUUCCCACCAUGAUGAUAAUGGACUGAACCUCUGAACCUGUAAGCCAGCCCUAAUUACAUGUUGUCCUUCAUAAGAGUUGCCUUGGUCGGGGCUGGGGAUUUAGCUCAGUGGUAGAGCGCUUACCUAGGAAGCGCAAGGCCCUGGGUUCGGUCCCCAGCUCCGAAAAAAAAAGAGUUGCCUUGGUCAUGGUGUCUGUUCACAGCAGUAAAACCCUAACUAAGACAGACUGUAAUGUGGAGCCCUGAGAUGAAAUAAACUGUCUCCUCCCCCAAAUUCUUU